AUUGAACGCUGGCGGCAGGCCUAACACAUGCAAGUCGAGCGGUAGAGAGGUGCUUGCACCUCUUGAGAGCGGCGGACGGGUGAGUAAUGCCUAGGAAUCUGCCUGGUAGUGGGGGAUAACGCUCGGAAACGGACGCUAAUACCGCAUACGUCCUACGGGAGAAAGCAGGGGACCUUCGGGCCUUGCGCUAUCAGAUGAGCCUAGGUCGGAUUAGCUAGUUGGUGAGGUAAUGGCUCACCAAGGCGACGAUCCGUAACUGGUCUGAGAGGAUGAUCAGUCACACUGGAACUGAGACACGGUCCAGACUCCUACGGGAGGCAGCAGUGGGGAAUAUUGGACAAUGGGCGAAAGCCUGAUCCAGCCAUGCCGCGUGUGUGAAGAAGGUCUUCGGAUUGUAAAGCACUUGAAGUUGGGAGGAAGGGUCGUUACCUAAUACGUGACGAUUUUGACGUUACCGACAGAAUAAGCACCGGCUAACUCUGUGCCAGCAGCCGCAGUAA
rnacentral:rRNA from 1 species